rnacentral:rRNA from 1 species
GUAGUCCACGCCGUAAACGAUGUCGACUUGGAGGUUGUUCCCUGAGGAGUGGCUUCCGGAGCUAACGCGUUAAGUCGACCGCCUGGGGAGUACGGCCGCAAGGUUAAAACUCAAAUGAAUUGACGGGGGCCCGCACAAGCGGUGGAGCAUGUGGUUUAAUUCGAUGCAACGCGAAGAACCUUACCUACUCUUGACAUCCACGGAAUUCGGCAGAGAUGCCUUAGUGCCUUCGGGAACCGUGAGACAGGUGCUGCAUGGCUGUCGUCAGCUCGUGUUGUGAAAUGUUGGGUUAAGUCCCGCAACGAGCGCAACCCUUAUCCUUUGUUGCCAGCGAUUCGGUCGGGAACUCAAAGGAGACUGCCGGUGAUAAACCGGAGGAAGGUGGGGAUGACGUCAAGUCAUCAUGGCCCUUACGAGUAGGGCUACACACGUGCUACAAUGGCGCAUACAAAGAGAAGCGACCUCGCGAGAGCAAGCGGACCUCACAAAGUGCGUCGUAGUCCGGAUCGGAGUCUGCAACUCGACUCCGUGAAGUCGGAAUCGCUAGUAAUCGUGGAUC